rnacentral:lncRNA from 13 species
GUUCUGGGGUACAUGUGCAGAUCAUGCAGGAUUGUUGCAUAGGUACACACAUGGCGAUGUAGUUUGCUGCCUCCAUCCCCCCGUCAUCUACAUCUCGCAAGAAAAUUUGAGGAGUCCACGCUGUCUCUCUGUCACUGAUGGCCAGUAUAUGCCUCAUGGGGUGGAGGCUAGAGUGUGGUGGCACAAUCACGGCUCACUGCAGCCUUGACUUCCUGGGCUCAAGCCAUCCUCCCACUUCAGCCUCCCAAGUUACUGGGACUACAGCUCCUGCCAAAUACUCACUUUCAGAAUUUUCUGCCUUUGUUUGCCUGUGCCAGAAAGGACCUUUUCUCCUUUUCUCCCUGGAAAACUCCUGUUCAUCCUUUAAAGCCCUUCUUCGUAGAAAUAUAUCUUCGUUGUUUCCUACUCUCUCCAAAGAGAAGAAAUAGCCCCUUCCUUUGUGUCUUGUUUAUUCUUACAUUAUUGCGUGUAAAACAUUAUUAUUUUUGUUUUGGUGUAAGUCAUCUUCUCUCUCUUCCUCACUGUCAGUACCAUGUGUCUCACUCAUAAGGCAUGGGUCUCAUUCAUCUUUCUGUCCCCAGCUUAGCCUGGUACCCAACCCAGAGUGGCAGCUCAGUAGCACAUUGCUGAAGUGAACGGAAAGGUCUGAUUGGAGCACAGGAGCUUGGGGGACCAUUUGCACAGGGAAGGAAGGGGUCCUGAUAGAACAAGCUAGCAUCAGCUCAGUCUGCAGAAAGACCUUUCUAUGAUGACAUUGACAGAUCUGUAGUCAAGGUAAAGUUGUCUGGGAAUGUUGUGCAGAGAGACAUCUGCAGAACGUUUGCUUCCUAGGGCUGAGGAUCUUAACUGGGUGCAGGGCAAGGGAAUCAUGGCGGUGAGAUCAUGGAUAGAAGUAUGACUUAGGUUGGUCUAAAAAUAAAUUGCUAGGGGUAGGUUGACA